rnacentral:rRNA from 1 species
GACGAACGCUGGCGGCGUGCUUAACACAUGCAAGUCGAACGAAGUGGCGAACGGGUGAGUAAUACGUGGGUAACCUGCCCCCCUCUUUGGGAUAAGCCUUGGAAACGGGGUCUAAUACCGAAUAGUGGGGGAUGGGCUCGCGGCAUAGGCGCUUGUUGGUGGGGUGAUGGCCGACCAAGGCGGUGACGGGUAGCCGGCCUGGGAGGGUGACACGCCACAUUGGGCCUGAGAUACGGCCCAGAGGCCUACGUGCGGCAUGGGUGGAAGAUAUAGCGCGCUACGCGGAGGCCGUGUGCAGGGACGCCGCGUUGGGGAUCUCGGCCUUCGGGUUGUAAACUCCUUUCUCCGUCGACGCGGUAGCUGGAGAAGAAGCACCGGCUAACUACGUGCCAGCAGCCGCGGUAAUAC